CUAUUGGAGCGGCCGAUAUGGGAUUAGCUAGUUGGUGGGGUAAAGGCUCACCAAGGCAACGAUCCGUAGCUGGUUUGAGAGGACGACCAGCCACACUGGGACUGAGACACGGUCCAGACUCCUACGGGAGGCAGCAGUGGGGAAUUUUGGACAAUGGGGGCAACCCUGAUCCAGCCAUCCCGCGUGUAUGAAGAAGGCCUUCGGGUUGUAAAGUACUUUUGGCAGAGAAGAAAAGGUACCUCCUAAUACGAGGUCUCGCUGACGGUAUCUGCAGAAUAAGCACCGGCUAACUACGUGCCAGCAGCCGCGGUAAUACGUAGGGUGCAAGCGUUAAUCGGAAUUACUGGGCGUAAAGCG
rnacentral:rRNA from 1 species